rnacentral:sRNA from 1 species
UUCUAGCCCCGAUUGUAGCAAUUGUUUGAGCUCCUUUUUUUUCCUUCAAAAAAAAAGAGCGAGUGCGGAAAGCGGGAAAUAGC